rnacentral:piRNA from 1 species
UCAACAGAUACUAGGGCAGGUCG